GAUGAACGCUGGCGGCGUGCUUAACACAUGCAAGUCGAACGGAAAGGCCCAAGCUUGCUUGGGUACUCGAGUGGCGAACGGGUGAGUAACACGUGGGUGAUCUGCCCUGCACUUCGGGAUAAGCCUGGGAAACUGGGUCUAAUACCGGAUAGGACCACAUUUUGGAUGGUGUGGUGGAAAGUUUUUCGGUGUGGGAUGAGCUCGCGGCCUAUCAGCUUGUUGGUGGGGUAAUGGCCUACCAAGGCGUCGACGGGUAGCCGGCCUGAGAGGGUGUACGGCCACAUUGGGACUGAGAUACGGCCCAGACUCCUACGGGAGGCAGCAGUGGGGAAUAUUGCACAAUGGGCGCAAGCCUGAUACAGCGACGCCGCGUGGGGGAUGACGGCCUUCGGGUUGUAAACUCCUUUCGCUAGGGACGAAGCGCAAGUGACGGUACCUGGAGAAGAAGCACCGGCUAACUACGUG
rnacentral:rRNA from 1 species